GACGAACGCUGGCGGCGUGCUUAACACAUGCAAGUCGAACGGAAAGGCCCUGCUUUUGUGGGGUGCUCGAGUGGCGAACGGGUGAGUAACCCGUGAGUAACCUGCCCUUGACUUUGGGAUAACUUCAGGAAACUGGGGCUAAUACCGGAUAGGAGCUCCUGCUGCAUGGUGGGGGUUGGAAAGUUUCGGCGGUUGGGGAUGGACUCGCGGCUUAUCAGCUUGUUGGUGGGGUAGUGGCUUACCAAGGCUUUGAAGGGUAGCCGGCCUGAGCGGGUGACCGGCCACAUUGGGACUGAGAUGCGGCCCAGACUCCUACGGGAGGCAGCGGUGGGGAAGAGUGCACUAUGGGCGGAAGCCUGGUGCAGCAACGCCGCGUGCGGGAUGAGGGCCUUCGGGUUGUAAACCGCUUUCGCCUGUGACGAAGCGUGAGUGACGGUAAUGGGUAAAGAAGCACCGGCUAACUACGUG
rnacentral:rRNA from 1 species